UCCUGCUUCUCUGAAACCCUGAAGACAUCAUAAGCCAAUGAAUGUAGGCGUUACUGCCUGAUACAACCCAGCACACCAGUCAAACACCUUGCCAACUCACCCGUAGUGGUUAGGUGGUGGUAUGUAAUGCGCCUUCCUUCCCAAGAGCAUGGAGGGCUUUCCCCUUGUCAUUCACUCUCACUGUGGGAAGGACUAGAUUCUCACUUCAGAUAUGAAUGCAGACAGCAGGGGAGGUGACCGGUCUACCCAGAGAGUCUGGCAGAAGGUGGAGGGGAGAAAGAAGCAGGGUUGCUGAUCUCAGAACAAGUCUGAAGAGAGUGUGGACAUGGCUUUCUAGAUGUUUCCUGUGAUGUGUCCGAACUCCCUAGUUCCUGCUACCACUGAGGCAGACAGGUCUGAGGCCAGCGUUGACGGAGGGCAGACUUCAGCUCAGAGGAACUGGCAACCUGCCCCAAGUUGCAUGUGGGGAUGCUGGACUUCCAGGGGGACGUGCAGAGGACAAAGAAGCUAUCAGAUCCACCCCACCCCAGCACUCACACCUUCAGCACAGGGCAACAGCCACACUGGGCAUCUCUGCCUUUGAGGUGAGGAGUCCACAGUCCUCAUCCAUCAGGUGCGUGGGUUGGGCCUGGCGGUUCUGAGGGUCCGAGGGAGCCAGCGGGGAUGGUUGUGUGGGUGCAGUCAGAGGAGCCUGUGACGGGGUGGGGCAGCCCUGAGCAGAGAGAGGGCAUGUCUCUGCCUAGGGUGAAGCACACUGUGGCUGGGGAACCCCAGGUUCUACAGUGGACCACCCCGGAGUCCUCAUGGAACCAUGGCUGUGGCCGUUCCACCCACACGGGGAUGGUGAGCAGCGCGGGGAGGUGACACACUUUUCAGAGCUGGAAGGACUUUAGAGACACCGGGUGGGGAAAUGGGCCAGGGGGGUGGAGGAGCUGUGGUGCAGGACACCCGCUUGUGCUGAACAAGGUGACUCCACACCCACUCCCCAAACUGCCAGUGGCGCCUAGAGGUCUUCCAAGGAGCAACCGUGAGUGAGCGCGGAGUCUGCCUUCUGCCUGCAGCACGGUCCUCCACCCUAGAGCCCUCUUGCGUGGGACGCUGUCGGGAGCAGCUCCGGCCACGUGCCCUGCAAAGAACCGGACGGCAGCGUGGCCUGGUGUCUCCUGACUCUGCUGUUUGGCACUUGAGGGACUGGGGCCAGGUGAGGGUGACCUGGUGGGAAGGAAGGCUGCAGUACAGGCCUCAGUGCAGGCUGUCACCACCCCCCUGUGCUGCCCCGUGUCCCAGCUCCGUCCCUUCCUUUAGCUCUGGGCUCCAAAAUUCCAAAACACAUCCAGUUCGAAGAGGAGACCAGCACCCGCUGCCUGCCUGAUGCUCUCCCCGCUGCAGCCGUAGUGGAAAGUGCCGCCAUCAGCACUUCUCCCAAUUACAGUGACCCUGUUGUGUUAAUUAAUUAAACCUCCUUGUCGCCUCGA